UGGGGAAUCUUGCGCAAUGGGCGAAAGCCUGACGCAGCAACGCCGCGUGCGGGAAGAAGGCCUUCGGGUUGUAAACCGCUUUCAGCGGGGAAGAAGGCGAGCGGGUUAAUAGCCCGUCAGCUGACGGUACCCGCAGAAGAAGGUCCGGCUAACUACGUGCCAGCAGCCGCGGUAAUACGUAGGGACCGAGCGUUGUCCGGAAUCAUUGGGCGUAAAGAGCGUGUAGGCGGCCAUUUAAGUCCUGCGUGAAAUCCUGCGGCUCAACCGCAGGCGGUCGUGGGAAACUGGAUGGCUAGAGUGCGGGAGAGGAGAGUGGAAUUCCUGGUGUAGCGGUGGAAUGCGCAGAUAUCAGGAAGAACACCCGUGGCGAAGGCGGCUCUCUGGAACGCAACUGACGCUGAGACGCGAAAGCGUGGGGAGCAAACAGGAUUAGAUACCCCCGUAGUCC
rnacentral:rRNA from 1 species